GAGCCUAGAACCCAUGGACCGUGGACGCAGAGGCGAAGCACGGGAAACCGUGCCAGGCGCCCCACGUGCUGGGAGGCCCAUUCGGUGAACCAGAGUCGGUGGGUUCCGCCCAGGAUUCGCGACUCAGACUGGAAGCUCUGCGGGGGCAGGAGCUAAGUUGGCCCUUUCCCCAUGCUCAGAGUAUGGAGCAGCGCUUGGCUUUGAAGAAUUAACACUAAUAAUCAGCAAUGAUUUCACAA
rnacentral:lncRNA from 1 species